rnacentral:rRNA from 1 species
GACGUAGGGCGCGAGCGUUGUCCGGAUUUAUUGGGCGUAAAGAGCUCGUAGGCGGCUUGUCGCGUCGUCCGUGAAAACUUGGGGCUCAACCCCAAGCUUGCGGUCGAUACGGGCAGGCUAGAGUUCGGUAGGGGAGACUGGAAUUCCUGGUGUAGCGGUGAAAUGCGCAGAUAUCAGAAGGAACGCCGGUGGCGAAAGCGACUCUCUGGCUCGUAUCUGACGCUGAGGCGCGAAAGCUUGGGUAGCAAACGGG